UGGCGAAAAAGACAAAGAAGAUGACAGGAAGUAGUAGGAGGAUGAUGGCGGGGCAUGCUUGGAUUCACCAGGAGACGGAGUAUUUUUCUAAACUGAAUUUGCUAAAGUGGCAUUACCAGCAUUUUAGAUUCCAAAAAGUCGUCUGUUUGUCCAGCUGCUUUGCUGUUAAUCCUGGUUUACUGUAACUCCCGGUUCCUGACCUUUCCUUCAUUUCCUGGACCAGCAAGUUCCUUGCAAAAGAGCAGACCUCCCUAAAGGAGUCAAAGAUCGAGCCCUGGGAGAGAAGGAGGGAGGUGAAAGAGGAACAGAGAGGCCCUCUGACGGGAGAAUGGAGAUAAAAUAAACAGAAGUGAUGAUAACUGGCUGUCAUAACCACCAGUCCAACCUCUCAAGGUUUUGAGGGGAAACAUUCUGUAGAUGAUAAAGCAGAGAACAAAUGGAGUGGUCCAAAGUGAUGGCAUGUAGGUGAAUGGGAUGGUUGGGAAGGGAUUGAAGGAGUUUGUGUGUGAGAGUUGAUUAAAAUGAUCAAAGAUUAAAAUGAA